rnacentral:rRNA from 1 species
AUUGAACGCUGGCGGCAGGCUUAACACAUGCAAGUCGAGCGGAGGUGAGGUGCUUGCACCUUAUCUUAGCGGCGGACGGGUGAGUAAUGCUUAGGAAUCUGCCUAUUAGUGGGGGACAACAUUCCGAAAGGAAUGCUAAUACCGCAUACGCCCUACGGGGGAAAGCAGGGGAUCUUCGGACCUUGCGCUAAUAGAUGAGCCUAAGUCGGAUUAGCUAGUUGGUGGGGUAAAGGCCUACCAAGGCGACGAUCUGUAGCGGGUCUGAGAGGAUGAUCCGCCACACUGGGACUGAGACACGGCCCAGACUCCUACGGGAGGCAGCAGUGGGGAAUAUUGGACAAUGGGCGGAAGCCUGAUCCAGCCAUGCCACGUGUGUGAAGAAGGCCUUUUGGUUGUAAAGCACUUUAAGCGAGGAGGAGGCUACCUGGAUUAAUACUCUAGGAUAGUGGACGUUACUCGCAGAAUAAGCACCGGCUAACUCUGUGCCAGCCGCCGCCAUAACAC